AUUGAACGCUGGCGGCAGGCCUAACACAUGCAAGUCGAACGGUAACAGGAAGAAGCUUGCUUCUUUGCUGACGAGUGGCGGACGGGUGAGUAAUGUCUGGGAAACUGCCUGAUGGAGGGGGAUAACUACUGGAAACGGUAGCUAAUACCGCAUAACGUCGCAAGACCAAAGAGGGGGACCUUCGGGCCUCUUGCCAUCGGAUGUGCCCAGAUGGGAUUAGCUAGUAGGUGGGGUAACGGCUCACCUAGGCGACGAUCCCUAGCUGGUCUGAGAGGAUGACCAGGCACACUGGAACUGAGACACGGUCCAGACUCCUACGGGAGGCAGCAGUGGGGAAUAUUGCACGAUGGGCGCAAGCCUGAUGCAGCCAUGCCGCGUGUAUGAAGAAGGCCUUCGGGUUGUAAAGUACUUUCAGCGGGGAGGAAGGGAGUAAAGUUAAUACCUUUGCUCAUUGACGUUACCCGCAGAAGAAGCACCGGCUAACUCCGUG
rnacentral:rRNA from 1 species